CUAUGAUGAAAAAAAAGGCUACAGAAUGGGGAGCCUCACAGAGUCACUGCAAGGGCUCUAAAUGAAUUGAUUCCAGCUGCAGAGAGGAUUAUUAUUCUCAGAUAAUAUUUGGAAAAGAGCUUGUAAAUACACCUGCUAAUAUGCUUACCACAGAUGCAAUCAAAAAGAAAUUCGAAGCAUGUGUCACUUGCUAUUCUUCCUAGCUCAAGCAACGGAAGCCCAUCUUGUCAUGGGCAAUGACAACACUCUAAUCAAUUACACAUUACUGUCUCAAGACUUUCUACAGCUCAAUUUGAUGUAAACAAGAUAAUUUAAUCUAGUGUUGAAUUUACAAUUCAUCUUUUUGUGGUUAAAUAUUAGUCAUUUAGGGUAAUGUACCGACUAUUAAUACUUGAAAUAUGUGCAAUACAAUUUUAC